UUUGGAUAAGUCAUUUGCCAACAUUUCUGAGGGAGAGAGAAAAACUACCAACUUCAAAAAAAAUUUAUUUAACUUUUAAAAAUAAAUAUGAAAUAUUUAGAAACAUUGUUCACUUGAUGGCAGUGAACAAAUGGUCUUUAAAAAGUUUUUUUUUAAUGGGCAGAUUGGUCUUACUUCCUAAAAACGACUUGUUUUUUGGUUAAACAAAAUGUGUGUAUGUGCUGGUAACAUAUCAUCAGAGAACAAAUCUUAGUCCUAUCUUUCUUUCAUUCUCUUCUGGCCUAAAAUAUCAGGAUUGGGAUUUGAAUAAGCAGUUAAACAAUGAUGAACAGUAUUCAUUUAUAAAUAAUAUGACAUUUAUUUAGAGCUUUAAAGAUUUGCAAAGUACUUUACCCAUAUUAUCUCAUUUAAUCCUCUCAGUAACUCUUUGAGGUAGGUGCUAUUAUUAUCCCCAUUUUCAUAUGAGGAAAGCAAGGAAGAAAGAGAUUAAGUGAUUUGCUCAGCAUCACAGAGCUUCUGAGUGCUUAAGGACAGAUUUGAACUCAUGCUUUCCAGAGCUCCUGCCUCCAAGACCAGCCCUUUAUCUCCUAUACCAUAAGAUUCUGUCCAUGUUAGAAAAGAUUUUGCCCUACUAUAUACUCUGAAAGUAUAAGAAAAUAAAAGAAACUCAGUCUAGGAACCUGGUAGAGUCUGGAAAGUCAUGCCACUGUUAAGGGUAAAUUUUUAGGAUUGAGACUGAAUAUAUUAUUUAAUGGUCACCAGGGAUUUAAAUUCUAAAUCCCAAUGAAAUACUCAAGUCAGAAUAGAAUUUUAUGGUGGCUCAUUUACAAUAGAAGGAUGGAAUUAAGAAUGAGGGAGAAAGAGGAAAAAGGGUGGAAGAUCUACUCUGGCCUGAGCCAGGGGGAGUUCAGAGGCCUCAGCCAUGAGGCUUCCCCAAGAUGAGGGGCCCCUCUGAAGGCUGUUGCCUUCAGAAAGCCAGGGAAAGAGGAUUCAGCCUCAGCACUCACCACAUGGUCGCCUAAGGGAAGCAGUCUCAGGUCUCCAUGCAUCAGCCCUCCAAGUCAAGAACCACCUUAAAAAGCCAACAAAGUCCCCCUCACAGGAAGUGAUGUGAAAUAUAAAGGCAAUUCUUUACAUCACUUCCUAUGUCUCACAUGUACCAAUGGUGGCUUAAACUUGGCUUAGGACAGCCCAUCCUCCCCUACACUUAAUCCUUAAGUGGGGGUGUAUACAUUCCUGGUUGCUAAAAUUCUAAAGACUAAGCAGGGUGGAGUAAAUCUAAAAUUCAUACCACCUAGAAACUGGGUAUUAGACUCUGCAUCACAGACAGCUCUGGAGCAAGUGUUAGACACAUUGAAGCCUCAGCCCAUGGACAGAGUAAAGCCUAAAACUCUGCCUGGUGAGAAUCUCAUGAACUUCACAUUAUAUAUAAUCAUACUCAUCACAAUGUAUUAACUAUGAUAAAUUUCAUCAUGACUGGACUGGCUAAUAGAGAAUUAACACUUGCAACCACAGUAAUUUCUGAAUGCUUAUUACUAAGACACACAAAGAUUAUGACCCAUAUCCAUGAAGAGACAAGCUUUAUAGACAAAACCUCUGAAGAUGUAAAUAUUACCUAUAAUUACUACUAUAAAAUAGUAAUUAAAUAUAUUUUCAGUAGGGAUAUUAAUAACCUGUUGCCUCUAUUUCUUUUUUUUUAAUUAAGUUUCUGGACAGCUUUCAACUAUUCCUGUUCACAAUUAUACCCACUGAUAUAUCAGAGCCUGGGUUGGCACACAGAGCAGGUAUUCUAAGUUAGUGAGCUGAGUAUUUCUUCCUGCCAGCUUGAGGGACAGGAAAUAUCUCUGGAGACACAAAACAUAGGAGUACUUCUAGCCUACAUUAUAAAAUCUCAUUUUCCAACAGUGAAAACUAUAAUAACUUCUAUUUCAGGGUGUCAGGCAUAGAAUAUUUGGGCUAGAAGAAAUCUUAUAACUCAUCCAUUGUUUUGAGGAAUGAGGUCCAGGAGAGGCAGAAUCAUUUGCCCAAGGUCACACAUCUACUUUCAGGAAUUCAAGUUUAGUCCUUUAACAUACUUUUUAGUACAUCACACCAAAAUCCAUAGAUUACUUUUAAGCGACAAAAAUGAGGUCUUGAUGACAAAGACUUCUGGAUGAAUCCUAUAUCUUCUAUAAUUAAAGAUAGCAAAGAAAAAAAGUACAGUGUCUUCACAAGCAUUAUUUCAUAAAAGGUUUUCUUUAAUUUUUAACAUAGUAGAAACAGAGAAAUAGCCAGAAGGACCCACACAAUUGACAAUUUAUUGCCAAAUUGUGCAGCUGUUUUCAUAGUAUCCCUGAAAUUUUCUUCCCCUUUUUUAGAUCCUAAUAACCACAAUAAUUUUUUAUAUAAUAAAAAUGCAAAAAGGCUUUUUUUUUUCCAGUUCUAAAUCUUAUGACACCUUAAAGAUCAUUUGGUCCUUAUUUUACAAGGAGGAAAAAUGAGGCUCAGAGUGAUCAAAUGGCUUGUCUGUCGUCACAUAAAUUAUUAGCAGCAGAGCCAGGAUUCAAACUCAAGUCUUUUCUCUUCAAAUGCCAGACCCUCAAAUCCAAUAAAAUUUUUAUUUUACAUUUUUGUUGAAUCAGUGAAAAAUGUGUCUCCUUGCCUUCCUAUCCUUUCCUCAAUUGAGAACAGAAAGAAAAACUGGUUCUCUGUUAUAAACAUGUAGAGUCAAGCGAAACAUUCCUACAUUGUGCAUGUGCUAUCUACCUACAUACCUAACUUAUCUGUAUCACUCUAGCUACCUGUCUGUCUUAUUCUAUAACUGAAGUCUUUCCCCUCAAUAGUAUGAACAAUCAGUGGUAAUCAGGCAGAACAACAGUAAAGGCUAGGCAACUGGAGUUAAAUGACUAGCCCAGAGCUAGAAAGUGUCUGAGGCCAGAACCCUGGCCCUCCUGUUUCUAGGCUAGCCCUGAGCUACCUAGCUGCCCUCCUAUUGGAAUCUGACUAUUCUUAUCUCUCUAGAAAAUUCCAGGAAGAAUAUUGAUGAGGAACAAAAGAGGAAGAUUUUCACUCAGAAUUCUCAUUCAUAAAGACUGAGGAAGGUUGGCUUAACUCAGGAGGAACCCCUGAAGGAUGACAAAGCUGAGAACAACCUCAGCCAUGGAACUAGAACAGAGACAACCAUUUGGGUGUACCUAAUAUACCAAUUUGAUUAUGUCACUCUUCUACUGAAGGAUCCCCAAUGAGAGGGAUUUAUCUGAUGCCCACUACUCCAUCCCUUCUUCUUCAAUCAAAAGAAAAAUAUAUUCUAUUAGGACCAACAAGCACAGAGUUCUUUCCUGGAGGAAAACGGAUAGGAGUGAGAUGAUUACAUAUUGUCACAGAUUUCAAAAGUUGCCUCAGUCCUCUCGAAUCCAUGAUAAUAUGAGAGAUGACCAAACGCGACAGAAAAGAAUUAAAGCAAGAAGAUGAAAAUGACAUUGAGAAUGAAUCAAAUUUACCAAAGUAAUUCAAUUUCCAGUGUUGAUACUCUCUCGUCAAUAAAUAAAAAACAAUUUGGUUCUUAGUCUUUAUUGAGAAAUUGACUUGAGUAUUUUAUAUAUGACUUCCUGUUUACAGAUCACAUAGAUAUAUAUGACAUUUUAAGGCAUACAUGGUGGUCUUCUUUAUAUUAUGCAGCUGUUUUGCCUCCAGAUGACUUCAGGUCAUCAGAAGACUUUGGCACUAAACUAUAUUCUGUCACUAGGGAUGUGUGAGUUUGUGAGAUGGAGGUGAUGGCCAAGACUAAAAAGUGAUGCGCUGUCUUCUAAGCAGUAUAAGUUGUUUUGUUUUGUUUUUCCUAAUACUAGACAGGGGCAGUCAGAAUUUAAUUUAAAGGCACUAUUUCUAAUACAUGUACAGUAAGCGUAAGAUCAUGGACCACAGAAUUCCAGUUGGAAGGGAAAUUAUUACCUUUAGACCAUAAAGUCCAACUCUCAUCAUUUUUCCAAAAGAGGAAAUUGAGGCAGAGAUUAAGUGACUUGUGCAAGAUCAUACAGCUAGUAUUGAAGGAAGGAUUUGAACAGAGGUCUUCUGUUUUCAAUUUAAAUGCUCCAUCUACUAUGCUAAACUGAUUCUAAGAAAAUAUAUUUUUGCAGAUUCUGAUGGACAUGUUUAUAAUAUUCAGUCAAUUCCACAACAUAUUUUAAAACUUGGCAUUCUAACCUUCAGUGCUAUAAGGUAUUAAUAGCCAUAAUUAUAGGAAAAAAUUAUUUUCUUUUGAAUUAUUGCAGUUCUUCAGUUUUGGUUCAAUGUGUAUCAAAAAGUAACAUAAAAUUCUGAUAGAUUUUACAAAGGAAACGCUGUGGAGACUAAAGAAAGCUAAAAUGCUGAGUUUUAUCUUACACGGACACUUUGGUGAAUCUAAAUAUUCCAUUUUAAAUGAAUAAUGAUACUUAUAAACCUUGGCUAUAUUUUGAAUAACAUUUUGAAACUUUCAUUAUAUAACUA